GACGAACGCUGGCGGCGUGCUUAACACAUGCAAGUCGAACGGAAAGGCCCUGCCUUUGUGGGGUGCUCGAGUGGCGAACGGGUGAGUAACACUUGAGUAACCUGCCCUUGACUUUGGGAUAACUUCAGGAAACUGGGGCUAAUACCGGCUAGGAGCUCCUGCUGCAUGGUGGGGGUUGGAAAGUUUCGGCGGUUGGGGAUGUACUCGCGGCUUAUCAGCUUGUUGGUGGGGUAGUGGCUUACCAAGGCUUUGACGGGUAGCCGGCCUGAGAGGGUGACCGGCCACGUUGGGACGGAGAUACGGCCCAGACUCGUACGGGAGGCAACGGUGGGGAAUGUUGCACAGUGGGCGGGGGCCAGGUGUGGCAACGCCGCGUGCGGGAUGACGGCCUUCGGGUUGUAAACCACUGUCGCCUGUGACGAGGCGAGAGUGACGGUAAUGGGUGAAGAAGCACCGGCUAACUACGUG
rnacentral:rRNA from 1 species